UACGUAGGGUGCGAGCGUUAAUCGGAAUUACUGGGCGUAAAGCGUGCGCAGGCGGUUUUGUAAGCCAGAUGUGAAAUCCCCGGGCUUAACCUGGGAAUGGCAUUUGGGACUGCAAGGCUCGAGUGCGGCAGAGGAGACUGGAAUUCCUGGUGUAGCAGUGAAAUGCGUAGAUAUCAGGAGGAACACCAACGGCGAAGGCAGCUCGCUGGGACGGUACUGACGCUGAGACGCGAAAGCGUGGGGAGCGAACAGG
rnacentral:rRNA from 1 species